UUCCUAUAACUGCAUCCCUGGCUAGCCCUUCCGUGGCUGUCUUCCGUGGCUGGAGCUUUAGUAAAGGAGACGCAAAUCCGGACUCAGUGUAACCUCACACACCUCCCUGUGCCUGACAAGAAAUGUGGAGAGGAUGAUGUCUGCUUCCCUGGGCCGUGGUGAGGACUAAGGUAUGUGAUCUUUGAGAGACACUCUUCUAAAAAUAAUACAAAGCACAGACCUCCAGAGUUCUGCCCAAAGAGAGUCCCUGCCAGUCAAAAUUGUCUGUCACACCAAUUCUUUCCAUAAAUGACUGAUUACUUGCUGGUAUGAGGUGAUGCUGUGCAUAAUUUCACCCCUAGGCUGUCUUCACACUGUCUUGGUGUAUGGGCGCAUAUGUCCAUGAGAAAGUCCUUCAAGUUGUCUACUUGUGACCCCUUGCUUCGGCACAGGGACCGACUGGAGUCAGGAUUCCAUAGCCACCCUUUACUCAUGCCCUCUCAAGUAGUCAGGCCAGCAUCAGGAUGGAUGCAGAAAGAUGCAGAUAGAUACCCAGCUCUCCUAAAUGGAGCAAAGUUUUUCCCAUUUCUUUUUUUUUUUAAGAUUUAUUUAUUUAUUUAUGUAUUUAUUUAUUUAUUGUAUGUGAGUACACUGUAGCUGUACAGAUGGUUGUGAGCCUUCAUGUGAUUGUUGAGAAUUGAAUUUUUUAGGACCUCUGCUUGCUCUGGUCACAUUCCCUGCUUGCUCCAGCCUAAAGAUUUAAAAAAAAAAAAAAACAGAUUUAUUUAUAUGUUGCUGCUAUCUUCAGACACACCAGAGAAGAGGGCAUCAGAUCCAUUACAGAUAGUUGUGAGCCAUCAUGUGGUUGCUGAAAAUUGAACUCAG
rnacentral:lncRNA from 1 species